UAUAGGAAAGUAUUAUUUGGUACAUAAAGCUUUGAACUUUAAAGAAAAGGAUAAUCCCCUUUUUCUAUAG
rnacentral:tRNA from 1 species